rnacentral:rRNA from 1 species
AGAGUUUGAUCCUGGCUCAGAUUGAACGCUGGCGGCAUGCUUUACACAUGCAAGUCGAACGGCAGCACGAAAGAGCUUGCUCUUUUGGUGGCGAGUGGCGAACGGGUGAGUAAUAUAUUGGAACGUACCGAGUAAUGGGGGAUAACUAUCCGAAAGGAUAGCUAAUACCGCAUACGCUUUGAGAAGGAAAGUGGGGGAUCUUCGGACCUCACGUUAUUCGAGCGGCCAAUAACUGAUUAGCUAGUUGGAGGGGUAAAGGCCCACCAAGGCGACGAUCAGUAGCGGGUCUGAGAGGAUGAUCCGCCACACUGGGACUGAGACACGGCCCAGACUCCUACGGGAGGCAGCAGUGGGGAAUUUUGGACAAUGGGCGCAAGCCUGAUCCAGCCAUGCCGCGUGUCUGAAGAAGGCCUUCGGGUUGUAAAGGACUUUUGUUAGGGAAGAAAAGGAGUAUGUUAAUACCAUACUCUGCUGACGGUACCUAAAGAAUAAGCACCGGCUAACUACGUGCCAGCAGCCGCGGUAAUACGUAGGGUGCGAGCGUUAAUCGGAAUUACUGGGCGUAAAGCGAGCGCAGACGGUUUAUUAAGCAAGAUGUGAAAUCCCCGAGCUUAACUUGGGAACUGCGUUUUGAACUGGUAAGCUAGAGUAUGUCAGAGGGGGGUAGAAUUCCACGUGUAGCAGUGAAAUGCGUAGAGAUGUGGAGGAAUACCGAUGGCGAAGGCAGCCCCCUGGGAUAAUACUGACGUUCAUGCUCGAAAGCGUGGGUAGCAAACAGGAUUAGAUACCCUGGUAGUCCACGCCCUAAACGAUGUCAAUUAGCUGUUGGGGCACUUGAUGCCUUAGUAGCGAAGCUAACGCGUGAAAUUGACCGCCUGGGGAGUACGGUCGCAAGAUUAAAACUCAAAGGAAUUGACGGGGA